GAUUUGGGGACUGCUGUGCUUUUUAUCAGUCGGCUUUCCCUUUCUUUUAUUAUUGUUCAAGGUCUAUAUGAUUUUCACAAUCUCAUAAAUGUUGAAUGUAUGUUAAAAACAAAAGAAAUAUAUACAACUUUCACCAACGGAUCUCUUGGCUCUCGCAUCGAUGAAGAACGCAGCGAAAUGCGAUAAGUAAUGUGAAUUGCAGAAUUCAGUGAAUCAUCGAAUCUUUGAACGCAUCUUGCGCUCCUUGGUAUUCCAAGGAGCAUGCCUGUUUGAGUGUCAUCAAGUUCUCAACCACAUAUCUUUUGUGGCUUGGAUUAUGGGGGUGUUGCCGGCUUUUAUACAAGUAGGCUCUCCUUAAAUGCAUAAGUGGUAUUUAUAAAAGCUACUUGUGAGGUGUUAUAAAUUGAUAAAUACACCUUGUUUGGCGAUUCUACUAUACUGCUUCCAACCCUUUUUGUGUGGAUGAUUUUGACCUCAAAUCACGUAGGACUACCCGCUGAACUUAACAUAUCAAU
rnacentral:rRNA from 1 species